rnacentral:rRNA from 1 species
AUAUGCUUGUCUCAAAGAUUAAGCCAUGCAUGUCUAAGUAUAAGCACUUUAUACUGUGAAACUGCGAAUGGCUCAUUAAAUCAGUUAUCGUUUAUUUGAUAGUACCUUACUACAUGGAUACCUGUGGUAAUUCUAGAGCUAAUACAUGCUGAAAACCUCGACUUCGGAAGGGGUGUAUUUAUUAGAUAAAAAACCAAUGCCCUUCGGGGCUCCUUGGUGAAUCAUAAUAACUUAACGAAUCGCAUGGCCUUGCGCCGGCGAUGGUUCAUUCAAAUUUCUGCCCUACCAACUUUCGAUGGUAGGAUAGUGGCCUACCAUGGUGGCAACGGGUAACGGGGAAU